rnacentral:rRNA from 1 species
UACAGAGGUCUCAAGCGUUGUUCGGAAUCACUGGGCGUAAAGGGUGCGUAGGUGGCGUGGUAAGUUAGAUGUGAAAGCCCGGGGCUCAACCUCGGAAUUGCAUCCGAUACUACCAUGCUAGAGUACUGAAGAGGUGACUAGAAUUCUCGGUGUAGCAGUGAAAUGCGUAGAUAUCGAGAGGAAUACCAACGGCGAAGGCAGGUCACUGGGCAGUUACUGACACUGAGGCACGAAGGCCAGGGGAGCAAACGGG